rnacentral:tRNA from 1 species
GGGGCUGUAGCUCAGUGGCAGAGCGCUUGCCUAGCAUGUGUGAGGCCCUGGGUUCGAUCCUCAGCACCA